rnacentral:rRNA from 1 species
CAUCACUACGCUAGAUGCAUAUCAAUAAGCGGAGGAAAAGGAAACUAACAAGGAUUCCCUUAGUAACGGCGAGUGAAGCGGGAAGAGCUCAAAUUUGAAAUCUUCAAGGUUUUACCUUGACGAAUUGUAGUUUAAAGAAGUGUUUUCUGUUGGAGUUUUGGUAAAAGUUCUUUGGAAUAGGACAUCAUAGAGGGUGAGAAUCCCGUAUUUGACCAGUUACUUUCCAGCUGUGUGAUACACUUUCAAAGAGUCGGAUUGUUUGGGAAUGCAGUCCAAAAUGGGUGGUAAAUUUCAUCUAAAGCUAAAUAUUGGCGAGAGACCGAUAGCGAACAAGUACCGUGAGGGAAAGAUGAAAAGAACUUUGAAAAGAGAGUUAAACAGUACGUGAAAUUGUCAAAAGGGAAGCGUUUGACACCAGUGUUGUUUAGUUGAAAAUCAAUUCAAUAAUUUUUGAUUUUAAGUAGUAUUGACUUCAUCAGCUUGCUGCUUUCUUUUCAGGAAUUAUUGAAUGCACUUUUCAGUUAACAAGUCAACAUCAAUUUCUUUUGUUGUAAAAGGGUAAGAGGAAGGUGGCUUACGCUUCGGCGUAAGUGUUUAUAGCCUUUUACCUCUGCAAUCGGAGAGAUUGAGGACAGCAGCGUAGACUCCUUCGGGGGUUAGAUACACUUGUGCUAAGCUAUAGCCUUGUAUAGACAACUUGUUGACUAUGCUCAGUCAUGUAGCUUACUCGCUUGUGCUAUUUUACCUACGCUUAGGAUGUUGAAGAUAUGCGCGACACG